rnacentral:misc_RNA from 1 species
CUAGCCACGCCAACUGGCAUCAGCAAAGGCAUGAUGAAGCCAGAGGACCUGAUCAUCUGCGAUAUCGCCGGCAAUAAGGUAGAAGGGCGCCGGGACCGCACGAGUGAGAUCCUGAUGCAUACAACGAUCUACAGCAUGCGCCCGGAUGUUCACGCUGUGGUCCACUCCCACCCGCCCGUUUCAACUGGCUUCGCAGUCGCCGGUCGGCCGCUGAACAUGGCCUUGCUGCCUGAAGUUAUCGUAGGACUCGGUUGCAUUCCGCUCGCCGGAUAUGGCUUGCCCGGAACCCCGGAAUUAUCGGAACAGCUGGCGCCCUAUAUCCCUACGUACGAUGCGCUGCUGAUGGCGAACCACGGCGC